UAGGGAAUAUUGGACAAUGGGGGCAACCCUGAUCCAGCCAUGCCGCGUGAGUGAAGAAGGCCCUCGGGUUGUAGAGCUCUUUUGUCCGGAAAGAAAAGCUUCGGGUUAAUACCCCGGGGUUCUGACGGUACCGGAAGAAUAAGCACCGGCUAACUUCGUGCCAGCAGCCGCGGUAAUACGAAGGGUGCAAGCGUUACUCGGAAUUACUGGGCGUAAAGCGUGCGUAGGUGGUUGUUUAAGUCGGAUGUGAAAGCCCUGGGCUCAACCUGGGAAUGGCAUUGGGAACUGGGCAGCUAGAGUGCGGUAGAGGGUAGUGGAAUUCCCGGUGUAGCAGUGAAAUGCGUAGAGAUCGGGAGGAACAUCUGUGGCGAAGGCGACUGCCUGGACCAGCACUGACACUGAGGCACGAAAGCGUGGGGAGCAAACA
rnacentral:rRNA from 1 species